rnacentral:lncRNA from 1 species
UCUGAUGGCCUGGCUUCCAAUAGUUAUAAUACAAUUCCUUCUAUGCUAUUAUUUGUCAUCUCUAUAAUGUCAAUGGUCCUUACAAGGUAUCAAUCUCCAUUGGCAUUGGUUGUUGUGCCAUAAUAUUGGAUAGUAGUAUAAUAUUUUGUACUAUAGAUUAUGCUCUAAAAUUUUUGAAAUCUAUAGCAUCAAUCCUCUUUACAAACUUAACUACUUCUUUACAUGUUUGAGGAUCCCUUAAUUCCACCUC